UACGAAGGGGGCUAGCGUUGCUCGGAAUCACUGGGCGUAAAGCGCACGUAGGCGGAUUGUUAAGUCAGGGGUGAAAUCCUGGAGCUCAACUCCAGAACUGCCUUUGAUACUGGCGAUCUCGAGUCCGGGAGAGGUGAGUGGAACUGCGAGUGUAGAGGUGAAAUUCGUAGAUAUUCGCAAGAACACCAGUGGCGAAGGCGGCUCGACUG
rnacentral:rRNA from 1 species